rnacentral:rRNA from 1 species
GACGUAGGGCGCGAGCGUUGUCCGGAUUUAUUGGGCGUAAAGAGCUCGUAGGCGGCUUGUUGCGUCAGCUGUGAAAACCCGCAGCUCAACUGUGGGCUUGCAGCUGAUACGGGCAGGCUUGAGUUCGGUAGGGGAGACUGGAAUUCCUGGUGUAGCGGUGAAAUGCGCAGAUAUCAGGAGGAACACCGGUGGCGAAGGCGACACGCUGGGCCGUACCUGACACUAAAACGCGACAGCAUGGGGAGCGAACGGG